CCUUGCUAAGUUGCUUAGGGCUGACAUUCAGCUGUAGAUUCUCUUGCCUCAGUCUCCUGAGCUGCUGUGAUUAUAGGUGUGAAACACAACUUGGCUCAGUUUUUAAUUUUGAUAAAUCCCAGUUUAUCAUUUUCAUGAAUCGUGCUUUGGUGUUAAGUCUAAGAACCAUUUUCCUGGAUCUAGGUAAAGAUCAUUUCUAUGUGGUUUUUCUUCCUAAAGGUUAUAUAGUUUCUGUUUUAUAUUUAAAUUUGAUUCAUUUUGGAAUAAUUUCCAUAGAAUACAUAAGGUAAGUUAGCUUCAUAAAAUUAACUGGAAAGUAUUAUAUCAUCUUCUAUUUUAUGGCAAAUAUUAAAUAGAAUUGCUGUUAAUUUUUCUUUGAGCAUUUUGUAGAGUUCUCCAUUGAAACCAUCUAAGCUUGGAGAUUCUUUUGGGAGGGAAUCUUAAAACUAUAUAUUCAAUUUCAUUGGUAUGUAUUGGGCUUUUCAAAUAAUUGUUUCAUUUUGGAUGAGUUGUAAUGAUUUGUGUUUUUUUCUUUUUAUAAUAUUUAUUUUUUAGUUUUAGGUGGACACAAUAUCUUUAUUUUACAUUUAUGUGGUGCUGAGGAUCAAACCCAGUGCCGCAGUCUAGCUGGGCAAAAUAAGCAGGAGGUGACAAGCAACUUGAAGGUUGAAGUGGUAACAGCUUAAUUGCUAAAGAACUCAGCGGGAACUGAGCGGGAACUCAAGGGAGAGAUCCGUGUGCUGCUGAGAAGAAAAUGUAUUCACUCAUGGAUGGUUGAAAUAUUCUCUAUAUUUCUGUUUCAUAUUACAUGAUCAGGUCAUCAUGGAGAAUUUGGAUUUAACUGAGUGAACCUGCAAGAUGAUCCUGGAUGACUCGACCUCAUUUGUGAUUUCUUCAUGGAGUUUGACUUUGCUCUUCUGUGACAUUGCAAAUAACAGGCACAGUUGCUUCACUUCUUUCCAAACUCAUGUCCCGUGAUCUUCAUUUGCAAGGAGAUUGUUCAAACUUCUGUUUUUGAAUCUCUGAGUGAUAGAAUAGAAAUCCAGAACUUGUCUCAACUUUUUUCUAGGCUUCAAGGUCUCUGGCUUAUCACAGAAACCCAGUGAGACUCCUUUGCCUUUACAUAAUGCACCAAAUCCUUGCUCUAGGAGGGGGCAAGAAAGUGGAAGGAGUAUUUUAUAAUUAUUUAAGAAUUAGGCCAUAAUCUCAUUAAAAAAAACCAGCACUCUAUGUUGUACUCUGUUGGGACUGGAGAUUUUCCUUUAGCUGGAUGAGAAUAUUACUGAGCUCAGGGGCUAUGUUGAUUAUAUGCUUCAGUAUCUGUUUAGAGUGUCUGAUAUAGUAUUCUAUUCUUAAUUAAUUUCCUAAAUAAAUAUUUGUGAACUGA